GAAAUGCGAUAAGUAAUGUGAAUUGCAGAAUUCAGUGAAUCAUCGAAUCUUUGAACGCACAUUGCGCCCGCCAGUAUCCUGGCGGGCAUGCCUGUUCGAGCGUCAUUACAACCCUCAGGCCCCCGGGCCUGGCGUUGGGGAUCGGCGGAAGCCCCCUGCGGGCACAACGCCGUCCCCCAAAUACAGUGGCGGUCCCGCCGCAGCUUCCAUUGCGUAGUAGCUAACACCUCGCAACUGGAGAGCGGCGCGGCCACGCCGUAAAACACCCAACUUCUGAAUGUUGACCUCGAAUCAGGUAGGAAUACCCGCUGAACUUAAGC
rnacentral:misc_RNA from 1 species